rnacentral:rRNA from 1 species
GCCUACGGGGGGCAGCAGUCGAGAAUCAUUCACAAUGGGGGAAACCCUGAUGGUGCGACGCCGCGUGGGGGAAUGAAGGUCUUCGGAUUGUAAACCCCUGUCAUGUGGGAGCAAAUUAAAAAGAUAGUACCACAAGAGGAAGAGACGGCUAACUCUGUGCCAGCAGCCGCGGUAAUACAGAGGUCUCAAGCGUUGUUCGGAAUCACUGGGCGUAAAGCGUGCGUAGGCUGUUUCGUAAGUCGUGUGUGAAAGGCGUGGGCUCAACCCGCGGACGGCACAUGAUACUGCGAGACUAGAGUAAUGGG